GGGGACGCGGGAGACCGCAGCUGGACACGCGGAGUUGCGCUGGCGUGGGCGCCUCGCCUGACCCGGGUAGAUGCGGUGGAGGGUUGUGUGCCUGUGAUCUCCUUGCGGGAACAGCUUUGGAGGUCAGUGCCUGAUAGAAAAGAUGAAACUGAGGUCCGGGCAGGUCCUUCGUAAGGCGACAGCAUUCUGUAUAAUAAUAGCAGUCAUCUAAUGAGCGUAAACCGUGCACAAAGCUCGUUUCCUCCAGUAGCUCCUUUCAUGUUAACAAGAUACUGCAUUUUUUACACAUUGAAGGUUUGUAGCAACCCUGCAUAGAGCAAGUCUAUGGGCACCAUUUUCCCAGCCGCACCUGCACACUUGGUGUCUGUGUCAUGUUUUAGUAAGCUUGGAAAGGAGCCCCCAACCACCCAUCCAUUUGCCCAAGGAUUGCUGACAGGCAUUUGCAUCGGAGAGACUUUCAUCUCCAGAGGAGAGAGGUCAGGAAAAUUAAUCCAUUGCUGGCCAACAACCUGACCCAGAAGAAACUGAGUGGUCCACCCCCUGCCCCCAAAAAAUUUUGGACUGGUGAGCACUGAACCCCUAAGAACUCUGGCUUUGGGGGAUCUUGCCUGAGUCGGAGAGGAUGCUGGGAGGCCCUUACCACACAGUGCCAGCCUGGAGGGCCUGGGACACGUAAUUGGCCUUGUCCAAGUCCUUUGUGAAGACAGCUGCAGCCAGUCCGUACUUGGAAUUGUUGGCUCUCUCGAUGACUUCCUCUAUGGUCCUGAACUUCAGGAUCUGCAUCACUGGCCCAAAGAUCUGCAGUGAGAGCAGAGUAGGGUGAACCCUGCUACCCAGCUUUCUCCGCUGGGCAGAUGAUUCCAGAUGUGGCACUGAGACCCCAGACGUAUCCUCACGGUUCCAAAGGGAGCAGACAGUUCCCAUGCUCAUCAAAUCACUAGGGGAAGAAAGCUAACAGGGACCAAUUACUUUCUAUGUGCCACAUGCUUUACAUAUGGGCCGUUAACAGUCUCAACCCAGCUGGGCGGAGUAGAGAGUCUGCACCCCGCGAGGAUGGAGACCUUGUCUCAGAGACCCCUGUACCUCCAAGUUCUGCAGAGGGGCUUGCACACAACCACUCGCUCCCUUUUCGCACUGCAAGAACAAGGAGAAACAGGAAACCUGAGCCCUUACCGGAGACAUUUGAGGACCAUGUCCAAAUCCACCAGGUAGGAGGUGAUGUAGGGUUUGCCGUUGUCCAGGGUCUCCAAGGCCUGAGAAAAAAAAAGGUCAGCACAGUGCAGGGGAGAAACAAAGCAAGCAGGCUGACGGGCAGUGUUGGAGUGUGCACCGACGGGGGCUGGCAGGAGCCAGGGGUGACAGGCCCCUUUGUGCCACUGAACGCCACUGGCUGGUAAGUGUGUGGACACUUCUGGACCACUGCCCCUCCCUCUCCAAAGGCGGCAGGGGUGGGAAUGAGGCGCCAACUCGUCAUUCAGUCAUUUCACAAGCAUUUUUUGCUAGAACUAGGUGCUGGGAACACAGCUACGAGCAUGGAGCUUAUAGAGCGGAGAGAGGGCGAAUAAUGACAAAGCCAUCAGCGUAUGUGUUCAGAGGGCAGGGAAGGAGAAGGUCAGACCUUCUCACCAGGUCCCAGAAACACCUCCCUAGGGGUGCCCUUUAGGUUUGAGCCUGAAGGGUAUGUGGGAGGGAACUCAGCCCAAGGCAAGGGACAAACAGCAACAAAGGGAAGCACAUCCCAGGCAGAGGGAACAGCGUGCAGAGGCCUGAGGCUUGAAGACACUUGGCAGUGAAGACCCUGAUGGAUGCUGGCAAGGCCGAGCUGCGUGUGUGAGGGGCGAGCCCGGCGCGGGCUGUGGUGAAGCCAGACCAGGCAGGGCCUUGCGGACUGUGUCAAGGGAACAGGACUUUAUCCUAAGGACAGAGGAUGCCAUGGGCAGCUUAAGAAGGGAGUGCUGUGGCAUAAUUUGCCUUCUAGAAGGUUCACGCUGGGUGCCGUAUGCAGGAUGGAUUGGGUAGAGGGGAAGGUACUGCCUACCUUUUGGUUUCUUCCACCUUUCACAGCCAGGAGAAGGCACACCGCGCAGAGGGGGACGGGAGAGAGGUCCAUCCCUGGGGCUCUGUCUCCAGGAAAGCCUCCCCAGCAUGGCUCCUCUCCUUCCCCCAGUCUCUUCCUGUCUGAGCCAAACCUAUAGUGUACUGGGGUGAAUGCUGACCCCCCCAUCCCUGCUGGAUUAGGUGUGGGCCCUGAUGCAAUGAUCGGCAUCCUUAUAAGAAGGAAAUAUGGACACAGACCCAGACACGAGAGGAGAAGGCCACUGGAGACAGGAAGAGGUAGGAGUGAUGCGCCUACAAGCCAAGGAACACUAAGGAGGACCUCACAGCCACCAGAAGCUGGUGGGGAGCCUGGCCCUGCCAAUAUCUUGAUUUUGGACCUUCAGCCUCCAAGACUAGGAGAAAAUACAUUUCUGUGGUUUUAAGCCCUCAGUUUUAUGGUAUUUUGUUACAGCAGCCAUGGGAAACUGAUGCACACUGCAUCCAAGGCAGAAGUGAGAGGCUCUUCUGGUUGUGUGCACGGGCGUGACCCAAAUGUGUCCACCCUGAGCCAUUCCGACCAGCUGCUCGUUGGCGGCGUGGGCCUGCCUGUUUGCAGAUGCCUCGAGCCCAUUUGCUAUGCGGGAUGAGAGGGGACAGGGCUGAGGACUCACCGCCAGGUAGCUGCGGUCCCGCUCAAUCAAAUCAGCCAGACGGUACAGUAGCCGGCCCCUUUCAGAAGCGUCCAUCCGGCGCCAGGGCGAACCCAGCCGGAACGCGGCCCGAGCAGCCUUCACAGCCCUGUCCACGUCUUCCUGGAAAACACCCACUGAAGCAGCUCAGGCUUCUCACUGACACCCUCCUCCAAAUACCACCCACCCCUCUGCCAAACACACCCACAGAGGCUUCUGGGCACAGACUGGCCACGCAGUCCAGGCUCGUGCAGGGGUCCCUCAGAAUCACUGCUUUCAGGCGGCCUCUCUCGUCCCAGAGUUCCCCCUGACAAGCUUCAGGCUUUACCAACAGGGCGAAUAACAAAACCUCUUCUCUCCUUCCCAGUGGUCACGGAAGGAAAGAGAAUCGUGGCAGUUUCUAUUUUCAUAUUUUCCUCUCAAAAUCCCCCAAGAGUUUUGGAGAGAGGAGCCACUUAAAGUUCACUAUCUGGAAAUUUUAUCAUUUUUCCCUCUGCCUAAGAAAGCCCAGCAGAAUUAUCCAUUUCUUCUAUGAUGAUGCAUUUUCCAACAAAUGCCGGUGAACCAGCCUCCCUCUCCUUAGGGAAGCAGUAAAAUAAACACAACUAGCAUUUUUCAUAUAGGGAGAUGUCUAUCUGGAAGCAGGAAGCACAGUUUUCAUCAAUAUUAAACUCCUUACUAUCAGGCUACUCCAUGAACCAGAAAGAUAUUCACAUUUGCUUUUAGCAGAGGGGGCGGGGGCUUAGACUGGAAUACAGAGAUGGUCUUACAGAAGGGCACUCUUGAAUUAUUAAUGCCUUGUCUAUGAAAAAUGAAGUGAUUUCACUAAGUGUAUAAGACAACUAAUUUUUUAAUCAAACAUAAUUUACUACCUAUCUAGGACUAGAUCUUAGGAGACCCAACUUCUAUUCAAUAAGAUUCCCAUCUAGCUGUACUCCUCCCUUCUCUGACCUUCAUCUUCUGGGUCUGGAAAGGACAGACUGGAUUAGAGGCUCCCAAAUUCACUCCCAAGCCUGGAAUUCCACACGCUACGUAUUAUCAAACCCAGGUAGCUUUUUCUGAAGUGACAUUUACUUGAUUUUUUCUUUCAAAUUUUUAACCAUUUUCUAAAUUAUAAAAGCAAUGCACGUUCAUGGUAAAGUUUCAACCAUACAAAACCAUAUAAAAUAAAAAACAAAAUCACCCUUGCCCAUUGUCCACCCUCCCUGUCCUGGCCCUGAGCUAAAUAAGUCAUCCUCACCUUGUCCCCUUCAGCCACCUGACAGAUGACCUCCCCAGUGGAUGGGUUGACAGUGGGGAACGUUUUCUUGCUGAUGGCAUCAUGCCAUUCGUUGUCUAUGAAGAUCUACGAUGAGAGAGGAGAAAAGUUUUCAGGAUCAGCUCUCAACUCAAUUCUAACCAUGAGCAAUAUUUUCAAAUAUAUAACAAACAUGAAUGCGUAUGAAUUAGCCUCGGGACAGUGCAGCCUUGGAGCCCACUGGAGUUGGCCACCUUGGGCUUCAUGGCCUUGGGCAAGUCGAAUGACCUCUCGGAGACUUCGUUUCUUCUGUCUGAAAAAUGAGGAGACUGGCUCUCCCGUUCCAGCUUGCUACUGCCGGGUAACUCGGUGGCUCAGAGGAAGGAGCUGUUAUUACCACUCACAGCCGUGUCCUGUGUCCGUAACCUGCAGUCCCGGGGCGUGGGCUGACGUGCCAGGUGGCUUCCCCACUCGUGCCAGCAGGGGGCGCUGCCUCCCUGUGCCCAGGCUCACUCCCUGCCUGCAUGGCUGUUUCAGGAUCAACAGACCUGGCACGUGGCAGCUGCCUUCCCAAGAAGACCCUGGAGGAGGCUCCACGGCCUCUUAAGACCUAGCUUCGGAAGCCACAUGCUGCUGGUCAAAGUGAGUCCCAGGCCCAGGCCAGAUCCCCAGGGAGGGGGAAAGUGCCUGCACCUCUGCUUGGCAGGAGCUGCAGAGGAUCUGCAACCAUCUCCACCCUAUCACAGCACUGCAGAAAGUUGCUGUGAGGACUGAAUUACAUGAUUCUUUCAUUUGCUCAGCAAAUAUUUAGCGAGUAUCUGCCGUGUGCUGUUCUGGGGCAGAGGACAUGGUGGAGAACAAAACCACAAAGGCCUUGGAGGUAGGAGUUGUCAGGAGGGCCUCUCUGAGGAGCAGACAUGUGACGUGAGCCCUGAAAGACAAGGAGCCACAGGACGACCAGCGGUCCACGCAGUAGGUAUUGCAAGUGCAAAGGCCCUGGGGCAGGAAUGAGUCUGGUGCUUUUGAGAAAAAAACAAAGGCAGCCAGGGUGGCUGGUGAGCCAGGAAGGAAGUGAGA